rnacentral:rRNA from 1 species
AAUGAACGCUGGCGGCAGGCCUAACACAUGCAAGUCGAACGGAUCCUUCGGGAUUAGUGGCGGACGGGUGAGUAACGCGUGGGAACAUACCCUUUGGUACGGAAUAGCCUCGGGAAACUGGGAGUAAUACCGUAUGUGGUCGAGAGACGAAAGAUUUAUCGCCAAAGGAUUGGCCCGCGUUGGAUUAGGUAGUUGGUGGGGUAAUGGCCUACCAAGCCGACGAUCCAUAGCUGGUUUGAGAGGAUGAUCAGCCACACUGGGACUGAGACACGGCCCAGACUCCUACGGGAGGCAGCAGUGGGGAAUCUUAGACAAUGGGGGAAACCCUGAUCUAGCCAUGCCGCGUGAUCGAUGAAGGCCUUAGGGUUGUAAAGCUCUUUUACAGGGAUGAUAAUGACAGUACCUGGAGAAUAAGCUCCGGCUAACUCCGUGCCAGCCGCCGCGGUAA